AUUGAACGCUGGCGGCAGGCCUAACACAUGCAAGUCGAACGGUAACAGGAAGAAGCUUGCUUCUUUGCUGACGAGUGGCGGACGGGUGAGUAAUGUCUGGGAAACUGCCUGAUGGCGGGGGAUAACUACUGGAAACGGUAGCUAAUACCGCAUAACGUCGCAAGACCAAAGAGGGGGACCUUCGGGCCUCUUGCCAUCGGAUGUGCCCAGAUGGGAUUAGCUAGUAGGUGGGGUAACGGCUCACCUAGGCGACGAUCCCUAGCUGGUCUGAGAGGAUGACCAGCCACACUGGAACUGAGACACGGUCCAGACUCCUACGGGAGGCAGCAGUGGGGAAUAUUGCACAAUGGGCGCAAGCCUGAUGCAGCCAUGCCGCGUGUAUGAAGAAGGCCUUCGGGUUGUAAAGUACUUUCAGCGGGGAGGAAGGGAGUAAAGUUAAUACCUUUACUCAUUGACGUUACCCGCAGAAGAAGCACCGGCUAACUCCGUG
rnacentral:rRNA from 1 species